AACACAUGCAAGUCGAGCGGAAACGACACUAACAAUCCUUCGGGUGCGUUAAUGGGCGUCGAGCGGCGGACGGGUGAGUAAUGCCUAGGAAAUUGCCUUGAUGUGGGGGAUAACCAUUGGAAACGAUGGCUAAUACCGCAUAAUGCCUACGGGCCAAAGAGGGGGAUCUUCGGACCUCUCGCGUCAAGAUAUGCCUAGGUGGGAUUAGCUAGUUGGUGAGGUAAUGGCUCACCAAGGCGACGAUCCCUAGCUGGUCUGAGAGGAUGAUCAGCCACACUGGAACUGAGACACGGUCCAGACUCCUACGGGAGGCAGCAGUGGGGAAUAUUGCACAAUGGGCGAAAGCCUGAUGCAGCCAUGCCGCGUGUAUGAAGAAGGCCUUCGGGUUGUAAAGUACUUUCAGUUGUGAGGAAGGGGGUAACGUUAAUAGCGUUAUCUCUUGACGUUAGCAACAGAAGAAGCACCGGCUAACUCCGUGCCAGCAGCCGCGGUAAUACGGAGGGUGCGAGCGUUAAUCGGAAUUACUGGGCGUAAAGCGCAUGCAGGUGGUUCAUUAAGUCAGAUGUGAAAGCCCGGGGCUCAACCUCGGAACUGCAUUUGAAACUGGUGAACUAGAGUGCUGUAGAGGGGGGUAGAAUUUC
rnacentral:rRNA from 1 species